GACAAGCUAACGGAGCGUGGGAA
rnacentral:siRNA from 1 species